rnacentral:rRNA from 1 species
GACGGAGGAUGCAAGCGUUAUCCGGAAUGAUUGGGCGUAAAGCGUCCGCAGGUGGCAGUUCAAGUCUGCUGUCAAAGACCGGGGCUUAACUUCGGAAAGGCAGUGGAAACUGAACAGCUAGCGUAUGGUAGGGGCAGAGGGAAUUCCUGGUGUAGCGGUGAAAUGCGUAGAGAUCAGGAAGAACAUCGGUGGCGAAGGCGCUCUGCUGGACCAUAACUGACACUCAGGGACGAAAGCUAGGGGAGCGAAUGGG